rnacentral:lncRNA from 1 species
AUUACGAAUUUAUUGUGUUGGUUGUAAUUUUAAAUAAAGACAUAAUAAACCUUAAACAUUAAAACAAAGCGUAUCUGGCACCCAGAUCCGUUUCCUACCCCGUUUGAGAAGCCCUACAGUCAAGGCCGGCUGGAGGACAGAGUGGUCACCAGGGGGCGCAGUUGUCCGUCGCCCAGGGAGCCGAUUUGUGGGGAUCAGGGUUGCGAGCCGAAGGAAGUCUUUUUCUUGACCUAAGUCCGGCACAGGGCCGAGGGGAGCCCUGAGGGUUAUUCCGCCAGGGGCCACACGGCCAGGCGCGCCGAGGCCGUCCCGAACGGGGGCCAUGGCUGCUGGGCCCUGAUGGGACAACUUUCCACGUCGCGCAGGCUGCUCAGAGCAGAGGCCUCCUCCGGCGGAGGCGGAGGGAGCCGCGGUGGACAGUCCGCCCGCCCGCCUCUCUGGUAGCGCCGAGGGGUGGCGAGGGGAAGUGCUUUCCGCAAACAGGACCAAGGGAGACGAGCCGCCCGAGCGCGGGUGAGCGCCGCCGCAUCGGCUGUGGGACGUAGUGACGGCGACUUCCGGGGAGAGGGGCUGCACUUCCGGCCGCGCUCUAGUCUGACCCGAGCGUUCCCGCCCUCGGAGCCAGAGAGUGGCCUGAGGCGGGGAGAAGGCCUGGCUGUACUGUACCGCCUUUUUCUGGUGUGAUCCGAAUGAAAUAUCCGGAGCCCAGGACAGUGGCUGUACCUGGCCGGAGGAGGGCAGCGAAGAGCCUGCAAAUUAGGGGAGACUUCUUUAGAGAAGGAGUACAGGAAGAAGUGGAAAAGUCUGGCUAUGAAACUAGGGACCCCAUGUCUGUAUCAGUAGCAACUCUGAGGACCCUGAACAACAGCAGGACUAGUCUAUGUAGGAGAGCAGAGGAAGAUGGAAUCCAGAAAGUGGCAAUGGUAGGUAAUCUGUAAUCUGAUAUUUUAAUGACUAGAAGACCUAAGUCUUGCAGAUGCAUAUCAAUAUGGAAGGUAGUCGCUAGUGCUCUGCUCUUGGACUAUUUUCUUGGCAAUGUGAUUGUCAUAUUUUAUCAAUAACUUAAAUAAAAUGUGGACAGAUGGCAAAUAUCACUAGAUAUUCAAGGAGAUUUUAGCAUAUUACAUCAAUAGUUCAAACCUAAUAAAAUGAAUCUUAUUGAAAUAAAAGUAAAAUUCUGACUUUGGCUUUAAAUUUAACCUCACAAGGGUAAGACAGGAGACAUGAAAAAAAGAAGCAAUCUUGUGGCAGUGGCAGUGAUGUUGCAGCCCAAAAGAUGAUGUUGUAGGCUACAUCAAAAGUGCACACAAGCUAGAACAAAGUAAGUGGUGGUGUUCUUCACUCAGCAUUUAUCAGAUUGUUUCUGUAGCUCUUUGUUCUGUUCUGAUGAUCACCUUUCAGUAACAAUAUGGACAACUUGGUAUGUGUUCUGAGUAAAGUAGGUGAGAUGAUUGGCUGAAUGUUUGGUAAAGAACCAAAUGAGAUGGAUAUAUCAUGGGGAAUGGAUGGACGAUACAAUAUUUUGUCUCCAAUUAAGUGAGUGGCUGUUAUAUAGACAAAGGAUUAUACUCAGCCUAUAUUAUUCCCAAGACAGGGAGAACUCAAGAUAAAUCAGUGAAACCAGAUGAAUGUACAUUUUAGAUUUGUACAGAGAAGGA